CCCCCCCCUGGAACAUUCAUCCUCUCUCCAACUCCAGUCCUCCACAGUUCCUUUGGUACCCUAAGGGCAAGUCCAGCACUCUGAAUGUACCCAUCCAACCCCUUGACCUUCAGAUACUUCAAAACUUUAAAACUUAUUUAAAGUUUUUGUGUAAUUUCUCAAGAGACCUGCCGCCGGAGAUGGGAAUAUCAUUUUAUAUUUUCUCAUUUCCCUUUCGUACUAUCCAUAGGACUUUUCUGAGUCGUCAUUUGAUAGUUAGAUAUGGAGACAGGGAAUAUAGUACGUUAUAACCUGAAGAAUUGUCUCACAGAAAGCUCCUCAUUGUUGCCAAAAUAUCUUUUAUUGAGCCAGAACAGGAACUAGAACAUUUGCAAAGCAAACAAACACACACACACACACACACACACGCUCAUCCAGAAGUGCUCAUUAUGGAACAUCAAAAGUAAAUACAGUUCGCCAUCUGAAGAAAAGGGAGCAAGAGAUUUUGUCCCGAGCAGGUAGUGGGAGCUGAUUCAGAGUAGUUGCCUUCAUUUUCUAUUGCUGUGAAUCAACAACUGUACAGAUACAGAGCAGAGGGAGCGCGGCGAGACACCGAAGGAGGCGGUGAAGAACUGCUCCUCUGGAGCAGGAGAACCUGCACCCAUGAGACUCGCCAGUCCUCCCUACUGUUCCUUACGGCUGUUUGCUUCAGGGCAUUUGAAAAGUUACCGACCGCCUCGCUAUCGUUUUCAAAAGAGUAUUCAAUCUGCAGACUGUGGAUCUACAUCCUUCACAACUUGGUGGGGG